AUGAACGCUGGCGGCGUGCCUAAUACCUGCAAGUCGAGCGAACAGACGAGGAGCUUGCUCCUCUGACGUUAGCGGCGGACGGGUGAGUAACACGUGGAUAACCUACCUAUAAGACUGGGAUAACUUCGGGAAACCGGAGCUAAUACCGGAUAAUAUAUUGAACCGCAUGGUUCAAUAGUGAAAGACGGUUUUGCUGUCACUUAUAGAUGGAUCCGCGCCGCAUUAGCUAGUUGGUAAGGUAACGGCUUACCAAGGCAACGAUGAGUAGCCGACCUGAGAGGGUGAUCGGCCACACUGGAACUGAAACACGGUCCAGACUCCUACGGGAGGCAGCAGUAGGGAAUCUUCCGCAAUGGGCGAAAGCCUGACGGAGCAACGCCGCGUGAGUGAUGAAGGUCUUCGGAUCGUAAAACUCUGUUAUUAGGGAAGAACAAAUGUGUAAGUAACUAUGCACGUCUUGACGGUACCUAAUCAGAAAGCCACGGCUAACUACGUG
rnacentral:rRNA from 1 species